rnacentral:lncRNA from 1 species
AGAAAAAUUAUUAAUUAUGAUGGAUCCAUUACAGAAAACGAAAAGUAACAGAGCUCAUGAUGUAAAUAACCCCUAAUGCACAAGCCAUUAGUGCAAACCAUACACUUUGCACCCUACCUGCACAUAUUUUUCAAUAAGCAGAUGUGUAUAUAUAUAUCAUUAAAUAAAUAAUAUAUAGUAUACCAUUAAGCUGGAAACAAUUUGUAAGCAUAAGGAAAAACACUAUGACUUCAAUUUUUCCACAUCUUCUACCCAUCCAUGUCGAAAGGGGCAAACCGGCCUCUUAAGCUUUCCCCACGAACCAAACUCUUCGAGUCGCUCAAAU